GAGGGUAUAGCUAAGUGGUAGAGUGUGUGCUUAGCAUGCACAAGGUCCUGGGAUCAAUCCCCAGUGUUUCCA
rnacentral:tRNA from 1 species